ensembl:snRNA U6 U6 spliceosomal RNA
GUGCUCGCUUUGGCAGCACGUGUACUAAAAUUGGAAGGAUACAGAGAAGAUUAACGUGGCCCCUGUGCAAGGUUGACAUAAAAAUCCCCAAAGCGUUCUGUAUUUCU